rnacentral:rRNA from 1 species
UACGUAGGGCGCAAGCGUUGUCCGGAAUUAUUGGGCGUAAAGAGCUCGUAGGCGGCUUGUCACGUCGGGGUGUGAAAGCCCGGGGCUUAACCCCCGGGUCUGCAUUCGAUACGGGCUGGCUAGAGUGUGGUAGGGGAGAUCGAAUUCCUGGUGUAGCGGUGAAAUGCGCAGAUAUCAGGAGGAACACCGGUGGCGAAGGCGGAUCUCUGGGCAAAUAACUGACGCUGAGGCACGAAAAGCUAGGGGUAGCGAAACGGGGAAUUUAGAAA